rnacentral:rRNA from 1 species
GACGAACGCUGGCGGCGUGCUUAACACAUGCAAGUCGAACGGAAAGGCCCUUUCGGAGGUACUCGAGUGGCGAACGGGUGAGUAACACGUGGGUGAUCUUCCCCUCCCUCUGGGAUAAGACUGGGAAACUGGGUCUAAUACCGGAUAGGAACGCACUUUUGGGCGUGGUGUGGAAAGUUUUUUCGGUGUAGGAUGAGCCCGCGGCCUAUCAGCUUGUUGGUGGGGUAAUGGCCUACCAAGGCGGCGACGGGUAGCCGGACUGAGAGGUUGGUCGGCCACAUUGGGACUGAGAUACGGCCCAGACUCCUACGGGAGGCAGCAGUGGGGAAUAUUGCACAAUGGGCGCAAGCCUGAUGCAGCGACGCCGCGUGGGGGAUGACGGCCUUCGGGUUGUAAACUCCUUUCGCCAGGGACGAAGCGUUUUGUGACGGUACCUGGAGAAGAAGCACCGGCUAACUACGUG